UACAGAGGGGCCAGCGUUAUUCGGAAUUAUUGGCGUAAAGGGCGCGUAGGCGGCCAUGUGUGUCUUCCGUGAAAUCCCUCGGCUUAACGUGAGGACGUGCGGAAGAAACUGCAAGGGCGUCGAGUCCGGGAGAGGGGGGGUGGAAUUCCCAGGUAGUAGCGGUGAAAUGCGUAGAUAUUGGGAGGAACACCGGUGGCGAAGGCGGCCCCCUGGACCGGUACUGAACGGCUGAGGCGCGAAAGCGGUGGGUAGCAAACGGG
rnacentral:rRNA from 1 species